AACGAACGCUGGCGGCAUGCCUAACACAUGCAAGUCGAACGAGCCCUUCGGGUCUAGUGGCGCACGGGUGCGUAACGCGUGGGAACCUGCCUUUAGGUUCGGAAUAACUCCGCGAAAGGGGUGCUAAUACCGGAUAAUGUCUUCGGACCAAAGAUUUAUCGCCUUUGGAUGGGCCCGCGUUGGAUUAGCUAGUUGGUAGGGUAAAAGCCUACCAAGGCGACGAUCCAUAGCUGGUCUGAGAGGAUGAUCAGCCACACUGGGACUGAGACACGGCCCAGACUCCUACGGGAGGCAGCAGUGGGGAAUAUUGCACAAUGGGCGAAAGCCUGAUCCAGCAAUGCCGCGUGAAUGAUGAAGGCCUUAGGGUUGUAAAGCUCUUUUACCCGGGAUGAUAAUGACAGUACCGGGAGAAUAAGCUCCGGCUAACUCCGUG
rnacentral:rRNA from 1 species